CUUUACUGUAGCUUUGCAUGGGACUGUGACGAUGUUUGUGUAGGAUAGCUGGGAGGCUUUGAAGCCGGGUCGCUAGAUCUGGUGGAGCCAACGUUGAAAUACCAGCCUGAUGGCGUUGCGGUUCUAACCUGGCCCCCUGAAUCGGGGGUGGGGACAGUGCAUGGUGGGCAGUUUGACUGGGGCGGUCUCCUCCUAAAAGGUAACGGAGGAGCUCGAAGGUGCGCUUAGCGCGGUCGGAAAUCGCGCUACUGAAGUGUAAUGGCACAAGCGCGCUUGACUGCGAGACUGACAAGUCGAGCAGGUACGAAAGUAGGACAUAGUGAUCCGGUGGUUCUGUAUGGAAGGGCCAUCGCUCAACGGACAAAAGGUA
rnacentral:rRNA from 1 species